GACAGAGGGUGCAAACGUUGUUCGGAAUUACUGGGCGUAAAGCGCGUGUAGGCGGCUAAGUAAGUCGGGCGUGAAAUCCCACGGCUCAACCGUGGAAGUGCACUCGAAACUGCAUAGCUAGAGUCCUGGAGAGGAAGGUGGAAUGCUUGGUGUAGAGGUGAAAUUCGUAGAUAUUCGCAAGAACACCAGUGGCGAAGGCGGCUUACUGGUCCGGUUCUGACGCUGAGGCGCGAAAGCGUGGGGAGCAAACAGG
rnacentral:rRNA from 1 species